AUAUGUUUUCAGGUUUUAAGACUAUUGAACUUACUGUAUUAGCUACUGCUGUAAUACUUGUUUGAAUAAGGAAAUAAACCAUUAAAAGAAAAGAAAAUCAAGAGCAUUGAAAGCUUUAUAACCAUCCUGUUAGUGCUCCAAAAGAGAAAGUCACUCUGGAACACAUUAUGUUCUGUUUCCACUAAUAUCUCA
rnacentral:miRNA from 1 species